rnacentral:rRNA from 2 species
UUGGCGGGGAAUUUUCCGCAAUGGGCGAAAGCCUGACGGAGCAAUACCGCGUGAGGGAGGAAGGCUCUUGGGUUGUAAACCUCUUUUCUCAGGGAAUAAGUACUGAAGGUACCUGAGGAAUCAGCAUCGGCUAACUCCGUGCCAGCAGCCGCGGUAAUACGGAGGAUGCAAGCGUUAUCCGGAAUGAUUGGGCGUAAAGCGUCCGCAGGUGGUUUUUCAAGUCUGCUGUCAAAGAGUCUGGCUCAACCAGAUAAAGGCAGUGGAAACUGAGAGACUAGAGUAUGGUAGGGGUAGAGGGAAUUCCUGGUGUAGCGGUGAAAUGGGUAGAGAUCAGGAAGAACACCGGUGGCGAAAGCGCUCUGCUGGACCAUAACUGACACUGAGGACGAAAUGCUUA